AUUCACUAUUAAUUCAUAAAACACUCAAAUUGUUACAGGGUUUUUCAAUUAAAACUUUAUGUUACAAAAGCUUUUACAGUUAAAACUCUAUCUCCUACUGCAGGUACGCAUAAUAUCAAACAGAUACACGUAAUCUCUACUUCUUACAAUAAUGACAAUUAAGCCAAAUAUACAUAACCUCCAAUCUCUCGAGUUUCAUCCACCAGAUGAGAGAGGGUUGUUCCUCUAUAAGACGGUUUCAUGAGAUACUUACUCGAUAUCAAGAGUAAAAACCA